CUUCAAACUCUCCCUUUCCCUCUCUCCCCCUUUAUUGCAUUUAUUUUACUAUUUUUUUUUUUUUUAUAUUUAUUUUCUCAAUUUCUCUCCCUGAAAUUUUCCGACCAUCCAAUCUUUAUUUGCCACAUUCUCACAUUACCCUCGUGUUUUAUCUUUAUGAGUAACAUUUAUUGUUAUUUUUCGGUAAUAAUUUAAGCUUCCCAUUUCAAAGAAAUCCAUAUGAUGCUUUGCAAUUCAUUGAGAGAUCCACUUCGGCCAUGGCUUCGUGAUUAUGUUAGGCUUCAGUCUUUCGCACUCAUUCUCAUUUAUAUCCAGGUGCAUUCUUUCCCCCAUCGGAACUAUCAUUCUUUGUUAUCUCUAUUUUCAGUUCUUAAUCUUAAUCUAUUUUUUUGUAAAUACAUAUGAGAAAGAUCGGGUGCGCAUUGAUUGGAUCCCUAGGGGCAUUGCUUAUAAAUUUGGUGAUCGCAUUGUUCGCUUUGGUAGCCGUACAUAUGCUCUUCUCUCCCUCUCCCUUGUUUUAGAAUGUUUAGUUUGUUUCUGGGAAUGGGAGUCUUGACUGCUUGGCGCUUGUUCAAAGAGUAAAAUUAGAAGGGACUCAUUCAAAACAAGUUUGUGUUACAUUAUAAUUCUAUUUUUCAUAUUCAUAUGCUUCAUACGAUACCCAAUAGGUACCCUAUCCGCCCUCCAACUCUUUACCAAUGCUUUUCCUUUCCUUUCUUUUAACUACUUGGAUAAAAUCAUGAUAAACCUUCCUCAUUGUUUCAUCUUUGACACUGGUCCGUGGCUGCACUGUAGUUUAUCAUCAGAUAGAUGAAGCUAAUUCAAUUUACGCAGAAACUUUACACUCUUGGUUGUUUCUCUAAUUUCUGAAAAAAUAGGAUUUUGAAUCAGCUAUGAUUAAUGAAAAGAGAUUUUGAAUGAAGCUUUGAUCUUGUAUAGUUGCAACAACAUCACUUGUACGCUUUAUCAUUUUCUACUGCAAGCCAUCACCCAAUCUAAAUUAAGAUAUAUAUAUCUAGAUCUAUCUAUAAAUAUAUAAGACUCUAUUUGAGCAAUGCAUUCUCCGUUGUCCUGACACCAAUCUUCUUGCCUGCCUUUUCUUUUCCAAUGUUCAUAUUAAGUGCGCAUGUGCAUAGUGAGCUUCUAAAUUGAUGCAUGGUGUUGACCGCUGUUUUACCCUGUAAUUUGAAUGAAAGGUUGCCUAUAUGCAGGAACGUUUCAUCCAAGCAAUAUGGACCCCUUUUUACCUUUUCAGUGAAGCUUACUCUGGCUAUGCAAAAUAUUGGUUUUGCUGUUAGACUAUCGUCUUCACUACUGUGGAUUCAAAUUUACAGAUCGGGGAUUUCAUAUAUGGAAACUCCAGUUCCCCGAGAGGCAGAUUAUGAUUUGAGAAAUAGUUUUCUUAGCCCCGCUACUCCUGUUGUAGUUAGACAACCCUCAGGUUCUGAUGAUAUGAUAGGGGGCUCUAUCUAUGAUCCAACUUCUUGCUCGUCCGUAUUCGAAGAUGGUCAUGAUAGUAAAUGUUUGUCUGGGGUAAUGUAUCAACUUUUUACGCACUCCUGCUUGCACCCGUUCUGAUCUGUUGUCAUCCAUUUACUAGUUCUAAAUCUGCUAGCUAUCAUUGCUUCAUUUUAUAUUUUACAAGUAUUUGGUUUUCCACGGUGUCUUUUCCACGGUGUCUUAACACAUUUAUUGUAGUAACAAAUGUCGGAUACGGAUACGUGUUCAACAAGUGUUGGACAUGGACACGCUAGCUAACAUUAUCUGAGUUGUUCAAGUGUUCCUCAUUGCCUUCAUCCUCCAAUUCUUAAAUUGGCAGUCCUUCAUUGGGCACAUUCGUUAAAAACUUGUUCCUGUUGUUUACACCUGAAACACUUGUCAAGAGUAGGUCGGUUAUAAGAAUUAGAUUUUGUUUUCUUUGAACUACCACCUUCCAAAUCUAUAUUGGAUGGUGUUAUUGAUUGGGAUUUUGUCCUUUUUGGUUUGUUGCACAAGGAAGUUCCUUGUGCAAGAUUGUUUGCGGCAUCGAUUGUAUUUCUCCUUUGACCUUGCUGUUGCUUCCAAGUAUUCCUUCUUUGGCAAGUCUUGACUGUUUUUUGCUAAUUUUGUCUUUCGAUCUUGGUAGCUAAGGUGAUAGCCUCCGAAAGAUAACCAAGAGGAUAUCUCCCAUUUCGGUAAUGGUGAUAAUAGUUCUACUUCUGGGCCAGAUGUAUCUCGAUCAAAGCUGUCCAGACAUUUCCAAGUAGCUGAUGUGAGUUUCCUUAUCUCAGACAAUCAAACCUGUUAGCUUCCUUAGGCUUAUAGAAUUAUUUUUACUCUUCCUAGCCAAAUAUUAUUGUGUUUGUAUAUUUCACUGGAUGAUAGGAAGUGGGUCAAUGUACUGGUUUGCCUCAGCUGUUUCUUUUAAAAUCUUUGCCUUUUCUCUCUAGUGGAGUUUGUAUCUUUAGAGCAUCAGUCAUUUUUCCUUUAUUAAAUGAUUUUUUUUUUUUUUUUUUUUUUUUAAAUUUCUGGUUAAAAAUAAAUAUCAGUGGGAGGACAUGGUAAAUGAGA